UGGGGAAUUUUGGACAAUGGGCGAAAGCCUGAUCCAGCAAUGCCGCGUGUGUGAAGAAGGCCUUCGGGUUGUAAAGCACUUUUGUCCGGAAAGAAAUCCUUGGCUCUAAUACAGUCGGGGGAUGACGGUACCGGAAGAAUAAGCACCGGCUAACUACGUGCCAGCAGCCGCGGUAAUACGUAGGGUGCAAGCGUUAAUCGGAAUUACUGGGCGUAAAGCGUGCGCAGGCGGUUUGCUAAGACCGAUGUGAAAUCCCCGGGCUCAACCUGGGAACUGCAUUGGUGACUGGCAGGCUAGAGUAUGGCAGAGGGGGGUAGAAUUCCACGUGUAGCAGUGAAAUGCGUAGAGAUGUGGAGGAAUACCGAUGGCGAAGGCAGCCCCCUGGGCCAAUACUGACGCUCAUGCACGAAAGCGUGGGGAGCAAACAGGAUUAGAUACCCUGGUAGUCCCACGCCCUAAACGAUGUCAACUAGUUGUUGGGGAUUCAUUUCCUUAGUAACGUAGCUAACGCGUGAAGUUGACCGCCUGGGGAGUACGGUCGCAAGAUUAAAACUCAAAGGAAUUGACGGGGU
rnacentral:rRNA from 1 species